rnacentral:rRNA from 1 species
UCUGAGUGAAAGUUACUAUUGUUGCAGCUAAAGAGCUCGUAGUCGACGUGUGGUUUGUUAAUUUUGGGUGUUGUUGAAGAGAGGGUUUGUUUUUUGAGCAAGCUUUUUUGGAUGCGCGCCAACAAUCCUCGAUCUCCUCGAAGGGGGGGAUCGGACACCUUGAUUAAAUCGGCCUGCUCCAAGGAAUCCCAUUAGCUGGAUUUGAACGUGCAGCUCGGAAUGUCGCUACGCAGGGAUGUUUGUUUGUGUGUUCCCACACUUGUUGUGGGGGUGCUUGGACUGACGUGCCUCGCAUGCGUGACAAGAGCGGAGGGUGUGGGUGAGAUUGCUGAGAUAGCGGUGAAAUGCUUGGACCUCAGCAGGAUCAACAACAGCGAAAGCAACCCACAAAGACGUGUCUGUUGA